GGCUCGGUGGUGUAGUUGGUUAUCACGUCAGUCUAACAGGUUUUGAAAGCCUUGAGUGCACUGAAGGUCCCGAGUUCAAACCUCGGCUGAGUCA